UACGAAGGGGGCUAGCGUUGCUCGGAAUGACUGGGUGUAAAGGGCGCGUAGGCGGAUGGCACAGUCAGAUGUGAAAUUCCCGGGCUUAACCUGGGGGCUGCAUUUGAUACGUGUUGUCUAGAGUGAGGAAGAGGGUUGUGGAAUUCCCAGUGUAGAGGUGAAAUUCGUAGAUAUUGGGAAGAACACCGGUGGCGAAGGCGGCAACCUGGUCCUUGACUGACGCUGAGGCGCGAAAGCGUGGGGAGCAAACAGG
rnacentral:rRNA from 1 species